GAAAGGGACGGCUAANUACGUGCCAGCAGCCGCGGUAAUACGUAGGUCCCGAGCGUUGUCCGGAUUUAUUGGGCGUAAAGCGAGCGCAGGCGGUUUGAUAAGUNUGAAGUUAAAGGCUGUGGCUCAACCAUAGUUCGCUUUGGAAACUGUCAAACUUGAGUGCAGAAGGGGAGAGUGGAAUUCCAUGUGUAGCGGUGAAAUGCGUAGAUAUAUGGAGGAACACCGGUGGCGAAAGCGGCUCUCUGGUCUGUAACUGACGCUGAGGCUCGAAAGCGUGGGGAGCGAACAGGAUUAGAAACCCUGGUAGUCCACGCCGUAAACGAUGAGUGCUAGGUGUUGGGUCCUUUCCGGGAUUCAGUGCCGCAGCUAACGCAUUAAGCACUCCGCCUGGGGAGUACGACCGCAAGGUUGAAACUCAAAGGAAUUGACGGGGGCCCGCACAAGCGGUGGAGCAUGUGGUUUAAUUCGAAGCAACGCGAAGAACCUUACCAGGUCUUGACAUCCCGAUGCUAUUUCUAGAGAUAGGAAGUUACUUCGGUACAUCGGUGACAGGUGGUGCAUGGUUGUCGUCAGCUCGUGUCGUGAGAUGUUGGGUUAAGUCCCGCAACGAGCGCAACCCUUAUUGUUAGUUGCCAUCAUUAAGUUGGGCACUCUAGCGAGACUGCCGGUAAUAAACCGGAGGAAGGUGGGGAUGACGUCAAAUCAUCAUGCCCCUUAUGACCUGGGCUACACACGUGCUACAAUGGUCGGUACAACGAGUUGCGAGCCGGUGACGGCAAGCUAAUCUCUGAAAGCCGAUCUCAGUUCGGAUUGGAGGCUGCAACUCGCCUCCAUGAAGUCGGAAUCGCUAGUAAUCGCGGAUCAGCACGCCGCGGUGAAUACGUUCCCGGGCCUUGUACACAUCGCCCGUCACACCACGAGAGUUUGUAACACCCGAA
rnacentral:rRNA from 1 species